GGGAGAAGUCUGAUGCGGAAACAACU
rnacentral:piRNA from 1 species